rnacentral:rRNA from 1 species
UACGUAGGGGUGCGAGCGUUAAUCGGAAUUACUGGGCGUAAAGCGUGCGCAGGCGGUUGUGCAAGACAGAUGUGAAAUCCCCGGCUUACCUGGGAAUUGCAUUUGUGACUGCACGGCUAGAGUGUGUCAGAGGGGGGGUAGAAUUCCACGUGUAGCAGUGAAAUGCGUAGAUAUGUGGAGGAAUACCGAUGGCGAAGGCAGCCCCCUGGGAUAACACUGACGCUCAUGCACGAAAGGCGUGGGGGAGCAAACAAGG